rnacentral:rRNA from 1 species
CCUACGGGAGGCUGCAGUGGGGAAUAUUGCACAAUGGGGGAAACCCUGAUGCAGCGACGCCGCGUGAAGGAAGCAGUCUUUCGGUAUGUAAACUUCUAUAAGCAGGGCAGAAAAUGACGGUACCUGCCUAAGAAGCCCCGGCUAACUCCGUGCCAGCAGCCGCGGUAAUACGUAGGGGGCAAGCGUUAUCCGGAUUUACUGGGUGUAAAGGGUGCGUAGACGGAAGAGCAAGUCUGAUGUUAAAGGCUGGGGCUUAACCCCAGGACGGCAUUGGAAACUGGUUUGCUAGAGUGCCGGAGAGGUAAGGGGAAUUCCUGGUGUAGCGGUGAAAUGCGUAGAUAUUAGGAGGAACACCAGUGGCGUAGGCGGCUUACUGGACGGUAACUGACGUUGAGGCUCGAAAGCGUGGGUAGCAAACAGGAUUAGAUACCCCAGUAGUC